rnacentral:rRNA from 1 species
AGCUCCAAUAGCGUAUAUUAAAGUUGCUGCAGUUAAAAAGCUCGUAGUUGGAUUUGUGGGAUGGCCGUCCGGCGGGGGGCCUUUCAUGGUCCCGUUUGUCCUGGUUUUCGGCCUUCCCUUUCUCGGGUCUAGCGUAUUGGCUGGCAUUAGGUUGUCGGCCGCUUCGCGCCCGUCGUUUACUGUGAAAAAAUUAGAGUGUUCAAAGCAGGCUUAGGCCGUUGGAUACAUUAGCAUGGAAUAAUGAGAUAGGGCCACCGCGGUCUAUUUUGUUGGUUUGCACGUUGUGGUAAUGAUUAACAGGAACGGUUGGGGGUAUUCGUAUUCAAUUGUCAGAGGUGAAAUUCUUGGAUUUGUGGAAGACGAACUACUGCGAAAGCAUUUACCAAGGAUGUUUUCA